rnacentral:rRNA from 1 species
GACGAACCGUGCGAACGUUAUUCGGAAUCACUGGGCUUAAAGCGCGUGUAGGCGGGCCGCCACGUCGGCUGCUGAAAUCCCCCGGCUCAACCGGGGAACGGGCACCGAUACGAGCGGUCUUGAGGGGGGUAGGGGGGUCUGGAACUUCCGGUGGAGCGGUGAAAUGCGUUGAGAUCGGAAGGAACGCCCGUGGCGAAAGCGAGGCCCUGGACCCUUUCUGACGCUGAGACGCGAAAGCCAGGGGAGCGAACGGG